GAUGAGGAAUUUUGCGCAAAUGGGGGAAACCCUGACGCAGCAACGCCGCGUGAGUGAAGAAGGCCCUUGGGUCGUAAAGCUCUGUCGACAGGGAAGAAAUUACUUCGUAUUAAUAGUAUGUUGUAUUGACGGUACCUGUAGAGGAAGCACCGGCUAACUCCGUGCCAGCAGCCGCGGUAAUACGGGGGGUGCAAGCGUUAUUCGGAAUUAUUGGGCGUAAAGGGCGCGUAGGCGGUCUUGUCGGUCAGAUGUGAAAGCCCGGGGCUCAACCCUGGAAGUGCAUUUGAAACAGCAAGACUUGAAUACUGGAGAAUGAGCAAAUUCCUGGUGUAGAGGUGAAAUUCGUAGAUAUCAGGAGGAACACCGAGGCAAGGCAGCUCUCUGGACCGAUAUUGACGCUAGGCGCGAAGGUGUAGUGCAAACGGGAUUGAUCCCCGGUAUCCCGCCGUAAGUUGUCACUCCUGUGC
rnacentral:rRNA from 1 species